rnacentral:rRNA from 1 species
GCAAGUUGCGCCCGAAGCCAUUAGGCCGAGGGCACGUCUGCCUGGGCGUCACGCAUCGCGUCGCCCCCCGAACGCCGCAAGGCGUCGUGGGGCGGAUACUGGCCUCCCGUGCGCCUCGAGCUCGUGGCUGGCCUAAAUGCGAGUCCACAUCGACGGACGU